rnacentral:rRNA from 1 species
AGAGAUGGAUUGGUGCCUUCGGGAACGUCUGACACAGGUGCUGCAUGGCUGUCGUCAGCCCGUGUCGUGAGAUGUUGGGUUAAGUCCCGUAACGAGCGCAACCCUUGUCCUUAGUUACCAGCACGUUAUGGUGGGCACUCUAAGGAGACUGCCGGUGACAAACCGGAGGAAGGUGGGGAUGACGUCAAGUCAUCAUGGCCCUUACGGCCUGGGCUACACACGUGCUACAAUGGUCGGUACAAAGGGUUGCCAAGCCGCGAGGUGGAGCUAAUCCCAUAAAACCGAUCGUAGUCCGGAUCGCAGUCUGCAACUCGACUGCGUGAAGUCGGAAUCGCUAGUAAUCGUGAAUCGGAAUGUCACGGUGAAUACGUUCCCGGGCCUU